rnacentral:rRNA from 1 species
GACGAACGCUGGCGGCGUGCUUAACACAUGCAAGUCGAGCGGAAAGGCCCUUCGGGGUACUCGAGCGGCGAACGGGUGAGUAACACGUGAGUAACCUGCCCUUCACUUUGGGAUAACCCUCGGAAACGGGGGCUAAUACCGGAUAUGACAUGGGAUCGCAUGGUCUUGUGUGGAAAGUUUUUCGGUGGGGGAUGGGCUCGCGGCCUAUCAGCUUGUUGGUGGGGUGAUGGCCUACCAAGGCGACGACGGGAGCCGGCCUGAGAGGGGCGACCGGCCACACUGGGACUGAGACACGGCCCAGACUCCUACGGGGAGGCAGCAGGUGGGGAAUAUUGCACAAUGGGCGGAAGCCUGAUGCAGCGACGCCG